AAACAAGAAACUUAAAGUGCUACGGUUUCGGCCCGUAAACAGGCACACUCCGUGCCCUUGUUUU
rnacentral:tRNA from 1 species